rnacentral:rRNA from 1 species
CGAUGAAGCCCUGCUUGCAGGGUGGAUUAGUGGCGAACGGGUGAGUAACACGUGAGUAACCUGCCCCCGACUCUGGGAUAAGCCCGGGAAACUGGGUCUAAUACCGGAUAUGACUUCCUACUGCAUGGUGGGUUGUUGAAAGAUUUAUCGGUGGGGGAUGGACUCGCGGCCUAUCAGCUUGUUGGUGAGGUAAUGGCUCACCAAGGCGACGACGGGUAGCCGGCCUGAGAGGGUGACCGGCCACACUGGGACUGAGACACGGCCCAGACUCCUACGGGAGGCAGCAGUGGGGAAUAUUGCACAAUGGGCGGAAGCCUGAUGCAGCGACGCCGCGUGAGGGAUGACGGCCUUCGGGUUGUAAACCUCUUUCAGUAGGGAAGAAGCGAAAGUGACGGUACCUGCAGAAGAAGCGCCGGCUAACUACGUGCCAGCAGCCGCGGUAAUACGUAGGGCGCAAGCGUUAUCCGGAUUUAUUGGGCGUAAAGAGCUCGUAGGCGGUUUGUCGCGUCUGCCGUGAAAGUCCGAGGCUCAACCUCGGAUCUGCGGUGGGUACGGGCAGACUAGAGUGAUGUAGGGGAGACUGGAAUUCCUGGUGUAGCGGUGAAAUGCGCAGAUAUCAGGAGGAACACCGAUGGCGAAGGCAGGUCUCUGGGCAUUUACUGACGCUGAGGAGCGAAAGCAUGGGGAGCGAACAGGAUUAGAUACCCUGGUAGUCCAUGCCGUAAACGUUGGGCACUAGGUGUGGGGGACAUUCCACGUUUUCCGCGCCGUAGCUAACGCAUUAAGUGCCCCGCCUGGGGAGUACGGCCGCAAGGCUAAAACUCAAAGGAAUUGACGGGGGCCCGCACAAGCGGCGGAGCAUGCGGAUUAAUUCGAUGCAACGCGAAGAACCUUACCAAGGCUUGACAUGUGCCAGACCGCUCCAGAGAUGGGGUUUCCCUUCGGGGCUGGUUCACAGGUGGUGCAUGGUUGUCGUCAGCUCGUGUCGUGAGAUGUUGGGUUAAGUCCCGCAACGAGCGCAACCCUCGUUCCAUGUUGCCAGCACGUAGUGGUGGGGAC